rnacentral:rRNA from 1 species
UGCAGAGGUCUCAAGCGUUGUUCGGAUUUACUGGGCGUAAAGGGCGCGUAGGCGGCGCAACAAGUCACUUGUGAAAUCUCCGGGCUUAACCCGGAGCGGCCAAGUGAUACUGUCGUGCUAGAGUGCGGAAGGGGCUACUGGAAUUCUCGGUGUAGCGGUGAAAUGCGUAGAUAUCAUGAGGAAGACCAGUGGCGAAGGCGGAUCUCUGGACAGUUCCUGACACUGAGGCACGAAGGCCAGGGGAGCAAACGGG